rnacentral:rRNA from 1 species
AGAGUUUGAUCAUGGCUCAGAUUGAACGCUGGCGGCAUGCCUUACACAUGCAAGUCGAACGGCAGCACGGGUACUUGUACCUGGUGGCGAGUGGCGAACGGGUGAGUAAUACAUCGGAACGUACCUUAUCGUGGGGGAUAACGCAGCGAAAGCUGUGCUAAUACCGCAUACGCCCUGAGGGGGAAAGCGGGGGAUCGAAAGACCUCGCGCGAUUAGAGCGGCCGAUGCCUGAUUAGCUUGUUGGUGGGGUAAAAGCCCACCAAGGCGACGAUCAGUAGCUGGUCUGAGAGGACGAUCAGCCACACUGGGACUGAGACACGGCCCAGACUCCUACGGGAGGCAGCAGUGGGGAAUUUUGGACAAUGGGGGAAACCCUGAUCCAGCAAUGCCGCGUGAGUGAAGAAGGCCUUCGGGUUGUAAAGCUCUUUUGUCAGGGAAGAAACACCGGCUUUAACACAGUCCGGGAAUGACGGUACCUGAAGAAUAAGCACCGGCUAACUACGUGCCAGCAGCCGCGGUAAUACGUAGGGUGCAAGCGUUAAUCGGAAUUACUGGGCGUAAAGCGUGCGCAGGUGGUUAUACAAGACAGGCGUGAAAUCCCCGGGCUUAACCUGGGAAUGGCGCCUGUGACUGUAUAGCUAGAGUGUGUCAGAGGGGGGUAGAAUUCCACGUGUAGCAGUGAAAUGCGUAGAUAUGUGGAGGAAUACCAAUGGCGAAAGCAGCCCCCUGGGAUAACACUGACGCUCAUGCACGAAAGCGUGGGGAGCAGACAGGAUUAGAUACUCCUGGUAGUCCACGCCCUAAACGAUGCUGACUAGUUGUUCGGGAUUUUCAUCCUGAGUAACGUAGCUAACGCGUGAAGUCAGCCGCCUGGGGAGUACGGUCGCAAGAUUAAAACUCAAAGGAAUUGA